UGGGGAAUCUUAGACAAUGGGCGCAAGCCUGAUCUAGCCAUGCCGCGUGAGCGAUGAAGGCCUUAGGGUUGUAAAGCUCUUUCAGUGGGGAAGAUAAUGACUGUACCCACAGAAGAAGCCCCGGCUAACUCCGUGCCAGCAGCCGCGGUAAUACGGAGGGGGCUAGCGUCGUUCGGAAUUACUGGGCGUAAGGCGCACGUAGGCGGACUGGAAAGUCAGGGGUGAAAUCCCGGGGCUCAACCCCGGAACUGCCUUUGAGACUCCCGGUCUUGGGGUCGAGAGAGGUGAGUGGAAUUCCGAGUGGAGAGGUGAAAUUCGUAGAUGUUCGGAGGAACACCAGUGGCGAAGGCGGCUCGCUGGCUCGAUACUGACGCUGAGGUGCGAAAGCGUGGGAAGCAAACA
rnacentral:rRNA from 1 species